rnacentral:lncRNA from 1 species
AUGGCUGGCACACAUCAAACCCUAAGUAAGCCGUGAAGAAUCUGUAUUGUGUGGAAAAAUAAUUAAGAUUUGAGAUAUUCACUAUUAUAUCCAAUAUGAGAGCUUAAAUUAUAAAAAUAGCCUAUAUGAAAUGAAUUUUAAAAACACACCCAAAGUCCAUUUACAACAUAACAAAGAGGCUUCUAACUUCUUAUAAAUUACAAAACUAUCAUCGAUUUCUUAAAACAAGUCCAACCCCAAAAUCUCAUUAAAAAAAACCCAAAAUGCUCAAUAGGUCAUCAAAGUAAUUUAAUAAUCAAAAUUAAAUUCAAUAUGGCCAACUAUUAUUAUUUUUGGAUUUGUUUAUAAAAAUUAAAUGGUGUAUGGUUGAUCUAUAUCAUUAGUGCUAAGAAUAAAUAUAUGACUAAAUAUCUCAACAUUUCAAAUUAAUUUCAAAAUGUUCAAUGUAAGCAUGAGACCAAGUUGAUGAGCAAUAAUUUUCAAAAUGUUGUCAGCAUUUGCGGCAUAAAUAAAGCUCUAAAAAUAUAAAUAAAUGAAUGAAAUAUUGGUUUUAUAAUUAUGUUAUUGCAAGUUGAUGAGGAAGAGUCAGAGUUUCAAUUGGUUUAUUAAUUAAAAUCACAAGAUUACAAGAAAUGGCUAAAAAGGAUAUAUACAUCUAUAUAUAUAUAUAUACAUAUUAUUCAUUUGAUGGCUUUAUGAAGAAGAAGGAGGAGAUUAGAAUAACAGGAAUUGAAGCACGUUUUGGCUUGUACAUAAUAAUUGUGGGCAGUCAUAUGGGAAUGCGGCGGCCUGCCCAUUUGUUUUGGUUUUGCAACUUGCAUUACUUAAUUUUGAAGCUUUUUUUAAUUUGAUAUUACUUUCUUGCAUUUGCUUUAUUAGGUUAAUUAGGGAAAAUAUAUAUAUUAUUUUUACCAUAUUAUUAAUUGCAUCUCUCGUAGCUAGCACUAUAAAAUAUGUGAUCAAUAAUGUGGUCGGCAUAAGUAUAUUUUAUACCAUUUUGAAUUAUUUCUCUAGGGGGGUUUUUUUUCUUGCAAAGUCUUGAUAUUGGGCUUGCUCCUUGCUUGCCAUAAUAGGCCCAAAAGGCUGAGUGAGUGACUUGGUGCUUUUCUUUAGUGGGUCGUUGGGACUUUAGGCUUGACAUGAGAGACUAGACGUGCGGGACUAGAAACCCACGCGUCUCUAGUGAAGAGAAUAUAAUCGGCAAUACAUUUUAAUUUUGGCUAUGCUUGAGCAUGGGUGAAAUUAAGCUUUUCUUUAAGAGCUUCCUUGGCCAUGAUUUCUCAAAUGUUAUGGCUUUCCUGGCCAUGUAGGAUCACUAACCCUAGCCAUGGUGUGGGAUCUCAUGGAUCAUGGUCUUUUGCUUUGUAUGGCAUGGGUUUACUCUUUCUUAAAUUCAUACAUGGUUCUCAAAAGAGCUUGCUUUACGACAUCGAUUUAUUGCCUGUUUUUGAGGUUUAAUUCUUAUGAUGUAAUCGAAACCUUAUGCUUUACUCUCUUGAUACCCUUUAUUUUACUCUUACGAUCGUAUAUUAUAUUGGGCUUCAAUACACUUGAACUUUUCUAA